UUUUAAGGCCCCCCCUAUGACAAUCGAAGCAGCCCUGACAAGAAAAACGAGAUAGUGUGCGGUUGAUCGGUCAUGCAAUCUGUCAAAUUUUCAAAAAAUACAGUUUGUUUACAUUUUGAACCGAACGAUAGCUCUCACGAUGUACAACGGCGAAUGAUUAAAAAAAGGCUACUUCGGUGAUGAAAAUGUUGUGUGUAAUGUGUACAAUAAACAGCCUAAAAAUUAUAAAUGGUGGUAGAAUCGACUUCGCACGCCUGAAAGCCGUUUAGGCUGUUGUGCAACCGUGUUGAGCCGGCGAUAGUUAGAAAGAGGGAAGAAAGAAUGCCCGCAAUCAAACUAAACGAUGUUUGAUCAUGGAAAACAAGUUAAAAAGCAUACAAAGCUCGCUCGCCGUUGGACGCUUGGACAAUUACUUUUACAAUCAUUCGGUGAUCAGUUUGCGAAACGUCUUGCCGCACGCCUGGUACAGGCCCUUCUUGUCCGCGUCGGUAUCGAUCGUGGACUGAUCGUUCGGCAGCGUCAGCAUCAUCACCUUCAUCUGCGGGUAGUUGUGGUACGGCACAGUUCCGGUCGCCAUCUCGAUCGCGGUAAUGCCGAACGACUAGAAGCCGUAUCCGUGGUCCCGCUCCAUCUCCUCCGGCGCCAUCCAGCACGACGUGCCGAUAAACGUGUGGUACACCUUCUGCCGCGACAUGUCUCCAUCGGUGGCGAGCCACGCGCUCAUCCGCUAUAUUUAAGGAGCCGUCGUCGCCGGGCAGUAUGAUGGCCACCUUGAUGUCCACGUAAUGAGCAAUGCGAAAUGUGCACUCAAUUGGCAAGCGCACAGCAAGAUCCAGCAAACGUUACCGACAGUCUUUGUCGCCGUGAAAAUGCUUCUAAUGCACGGGUAUUUUAUAUUGCAUCGGUACGAUUAUCGUGUUCAAAGGCUUUUUCGAGAAAUGCCAAUACAUAAAUCGGUUAGUUCGUUUAUAUCGGUUUCUCAAACCCCUGCAAGCAAUGGUCAAUCAUUUCAGUCUUAAACUUUUGACGAACGAAUGCCUGGUCGCUAGCUGCAGCUUCCCAUCGAUGUAGGCACACGAUCUUCGAGAUUUUACUUCACCUGAUCUAGCCAUCGCACUCGCUGUGCUUCCUCGCUUCUAGUACCGAACUGAGAGCCGCUCGAACACCUAGCUGCUGGGGCACGAGGCUGCCUUCUUCACAACAUGCUCCAGCCAUCGCAAACAGCCAUGUCCGGUGCGCCAUAUGGCUUCAGUAAGCUCGUGGAUAAUCAUUCGCAUCCACACCCCAUGCUCGAAUUCACCGCCAAAGAUGAUCCGGAGGAUG